rnacentral:rRNA from 1 species
GGAAACCCUCUAACACUUAGCACUCAUCGUUUACGGCGUGGACUACCAGGGUAUCUAAUCCUGUUCGCUCCCCACGCUUUCGCGCCUCAGCGUCAGUUACAGACCAGAGAGCCGCCUUCGCCACUGGUGUUCCUCCACAUCUCUACGCAUUUCACCGCUACACGUGGAAUUCCGCUCUCCUCUUCUGCACUCAAGUUCCCCAGUUUCCAAUGACCCUCCCCGGUUGAGCCGGGGGCUUUCACAUCAGACUUAAGGAACCGCCUGCGCGCGCUUUACGCCCAAUAAUUCCGGACAACGCUUGCCACCUACGUAUUACCGCGGCUGCUGGCACGUAGUUAGCCGUGGCUUUCUGGUCAGGUACCGUCAAGGUACCGGNCAGUUACUCCGAUACUUGUUCUUCCCUGACAACAGAACUUUACGACCCGAAAGCCUUCAUCGUUCACGCGGCGUUGCUCCGUCAGACUUUCGUCCAUUGCGGAAGAUUCCCUACUGCUGCCUCCCGUAGGAGUCUGGGCCGUGUCUCAGUCCCAGUGUGGCCGAUCACCCUCUCAGGUCGGCUACGCAUCGUUGCCUUGGUGAGCCGUUACCUCACCAACUAGCUAAUGCGCCGCGGGCCCAUCUGUAAGUGACAGCCGG